rnacentral:rRNA from 1 species
UACGUAGGCAGCAAGCGUUGUUCGGAGUUACUGGGCGUAAAGAGUAUGUAGGCGGCCUCGCAAGUUUGGUGUGAAAUCUCCCGGCUUAACUGGGAGGGUGCGCCGAAAACUGCGGGGCUCGAGUGCGGGAGAGGAGAGCGGAAUUCCUGGUGUAGCGGUGAAAUGCGUAGAUAUCAGGAGGAACACCGGCGGUGUAGACGGCUCUCUGGACCGUUACUGACGCUGAGAUACGAAAGCGUGGGGAGCAAACAGG